GAUGAACGCUGGCGGCGUGCCUAAUACAUGCAAGUCGAGCGAACAGACGAGGAGCUUGCUCCUCUGACGUUAGCGGCGGACGGGUGAGUAACACGUGGAUAACCUACCUAUAAGACUGGGAUAACUUCGGGAAACCGGAGCUAAUACCGGAUAAUAUAUUGAACCGCAUGGUUCAAUAGUGAAAGACGGUUUUGCUGUCACUUAUAGAUGGAUCCGCGCCGCAUUAGCUAGUUGGUAAGGUAACGGCUUACCAAGGCAACGAUGCGUAGCCGACCUGAGAGGGUGAUCGGCCGCACUGGAACUGAGACACGGUCCAGACGCCUACGGGAGGCAGCAGUAGGGAAUCUUCCGCAAUGGGCGAAAGCCUGACGGAGCAACGCCGCGUGAGUGAUGAAGGUCUUCGGAUCGUAAAACUCUGUUAUUAGGGAAGAACAAAUGUGUAAGUAACUAUGCACGUCUUGACGGUACCUAAUCAGAAAGCCACGGCUAACUACGUG
rnacentral:rRNA from 1 species